rnacentral:SRP_RNA from 1 species
CACGGCUCCUCACGUGGUGUCAUCUUUCUGAACUCCCCCAGGACAGGAAUGUAGCAAGGGUAGGAAGGCUCUGGCAGGUACGUGAGGGGCCCUUUUU